rnacentral:rRNA from 1 species
UGGGGAAUAUUGGUCCCAUGGGCGAAAGCCUGAUCCAGCCAUGCCGCGUGUGUGAAGAAGGUCUUCGGAUUGUAAAGCACUUUAAGUUGGGAGGAAGGGCAGUAAAUUAAUACUCUGCUGUUUUGACGUUACCGACAGAAUAAGCGGGGGCUAACUCUGGG